UAAUAUCCACCGGUCGAUAUUAUCGGACAUCCCUACUUUUUUUUGUUUUUAUUGUAUUUUUGGAAACUGCACCAACUUUUCUGGAAGUCAGUUUUGUAGAAACUCCUUCGAACGUCUCUUCCCAUGAGACCUUGUUUACGCUGGAGAGGAACUCGGAGUAUCCUUCAGGGCCAGUUGUGUUUUACGUUACUGAAAAUAUCAGGGUUUUUUCAAGGAGGUACGGUGGAACAAAGUUGUUUCCCCAAAAGAAGUGGUUCUCAAACACUGGUUUGUGUAUCGAUGGUACAGUACUACUUAAAGUUCCCUCUGGUGGUAUAUAGGGUGAACAGCUUCUAAUUAGGAUUAGGCUAGUGUGUGUGUAUCACUACUUUUGUACAUUGUAGACGGCUUCUUUAGCUGAAGUAAAUUCUCUCCAUGAGCUGGUGGACGACGCAAAAAAGUUUGAGAAAGUCUGUUCUUAAGAAAGUAAAAAAAAAACAUUUCCGGAUGUUUCAUUGAGUUGAUAAUCAAAGGUCGGCCGUCGGUCCAGUAACAGCACGAAAAUGUCAUAUUUAGCUGAAAGUAGUAGAGAAAAAUCUGACGUGUGCUCAUCUGUCGUCGGGCAGAAAACUUUGUUCAUAGGUUGUAAACAAUAACAAGUUGUUUGUUUUCCAUUUUAGCUUCUCGUGAGUGUAAAGAACAUUUGCUGCUCAGUCGGUUUUAGUUUGUAAAUAGUCACUAAAAAAUAUCCACUGUAAGAAAACAUGGUUUCAAAUCCCGCUCACGUCUUAAACUCCGGCGUGUUCUCCACCGCCAGGAGGUCUGGAUGUUUAUUACACAUUUAUACGACGCAGUAUCAUUUAAUAUCAACAGUGUUAACGAUGGGUCGUACGAUAAAAGACGCAUCGUCCUGUUCUACUGCAGGUGUUGAUUCACGCCACGUGACGUCACAAGGUUUUCAUAGCAAUACGUAGCGAUGCAUGGUUCAGCACGGCCGUAGUGAGAAGCCUCUCCACCUAGAUCCUAACUGUGUGUGGACUCAAGUGAAACAUGUCGACCUAAAGGCCUAGAAUAAACAUUUUUGAGCUCAAAUAAAGGCAUAAAGCAU